CCUUUCGGGGUGUAAACCACUUUUGUCGGGGACGACGGGGAGGCUUUCGGGUCUCGCCAGACGGUACCCGGCGAAGAAGGCCCGGCUAACUACGUGCCAGCAGCCGCGGUAAGACGUAGGGGCCAAGCGUUGUCCGGAGUAACUGGGCGUAAAGGGCGCGCAGGCGGUGCGUCACGUCGGGUGUGAAAGCCCCCCGCUCAACGGGGGAGGGUCAUCCGAAACGGACGGACUGGAGGCAGGGAGAGGUCGGUGGAAUUCCCGGAGUAGUGGUGAAAUGCGUAGAUCUCGGGAGGAACACCAGAGGCGAAGGCGGCCGACUGGACCUGACCUGACGCUGAGGCGCGAAGGCGUGGGGAGCGAACGGGAUUAGAUACCCCGGUAGUCCACGCAGUAAACGAUGUGCACUAGGCGGGGGAUGUAUUGACCCAUUCCGUGCCGUAGCUAACGCGCUAAGUGCACCGCCUGGGGAGUACGGUCGCAAGACUAAAACUCAAAGGAAUUGACGGGGCCCCGCACAAGCAGCGGAGCGUGUGGUUUAAUUCGAUGCAACGCGAAGAACCUUACCAGGACUUGACAGCUUCGGAAGACGAGGGAAACCUCGUUGUGCUCGUAAAAAAACCGAAAAACAGGUGUUGCAUGGCUGUCGUCAGCUC
rnacentral:rRNA from 1 species